CUCCAUGGAACAUUCAACGCUGUCGGUGAGUUUGGGAUUCAAAAACAAAAAAAACCACCAACCGUUGACUGUACCUUGGGA
rfam:Rattus norvegicus chromosome 3, whole genome shotgun sequence.